UCGGAUUGUAGUCUGCAACCCGACUACAUGAAGCUGGAAUCGCUAGUAAUCGCGAAUCAGCAUGUCGCGGUGAAUACGUUCCCGGGUCUUGUACACACCGCCCGUCACACUAUGGGAGUUGGCAACGCCCGAAGCCAGUGACCCAACCGAGAGGAGGGAGCUGUCGAAGGCGGGGCCGGUAACUGGGGUGAAGUCGUAACAAGGUAAC
rnacentral:rRNA from 1 species